rnacentral:lncRNA from 1 species
GCUACGUUACGGGCGGCGGCGUCAGCGGCCGAGGCUGGCACGUCAGCGCCCUCGCCAGCGACCCUCAGCCGCCCCGCCCUGCGGCCCAGCCUGACGCGGCCACCGCCACUCCCAUGCCAACCACCAGCUCUCCUUGAGCCAAUACUGCAGCCAAUACUGAAGCCAAUUGCAGCCAAUACUCCAUCCAGUUGCAGCCAAUACUAGCUGCAGUCAGUUGCAGCCAAUACUGCAACUAGUUGUAGCCAAUACUCCAUCCAAGUGCAGCCAAUACUAACUGCAGUCAGUCGUAACCAAAUACUCGUGUCAGUUGCAGCCAAUACUCUUGUCAGUUGCAGCCAAUACUCGUAUCAGUUGCAGCCAAUACUCGUGUCAGUUGCAGCCAAUACUCGUGUCAGUUGCAGCCAAUACUCAUAUCAGUUGUAACCAAAUAUUCGUAUACAAUAUGACAAUAUACAUGUGUGUUGCAAUAUUUGUGUUGCUGACAACAUUUGUGUUACAGUAAGUACAGCUUUACAAGCAGCCAAGCAACUCAUGUUCUCCCUCUCGCUACGCCUUGUAUCAUAUAAAAUUAUUAUGUGCUAA